rnacentral:rRNA from 1 species
AGAAUCAACGCUGGCGGCGUGCCUAACACAUGCAAGUCGCACGAGAAAGGGGAGCAAUCCCUGAGUAAAGUGGCGCACGGGUGAGUAACACGUGAAUCAUCUACCUCCGAGUGGGGAAUAAACUGAGAGAAAUCUUAGCUAAUACCGCAUAACACUUACGAGUCAAAGCAGCAAUGCGCUUGGAGAGGAGUUCGCGGCAGAUUAGUUAGUUGGCGGGGUAAUGGCCCACCAAGACGAUGAUCUGUA